rnacentral:rRNA from 1 species
AGCUCCAAUAGCGUAUAUUAAAGUUGUUGUGGUUAAAAAGCUCGUAGUUGGAUCUCAGUUCGAGUCAGACGGUCCACUUGCCAGUGGUUACUGUCUGUACUGAAGGUCUCAUUUAUCGAGUUGUCCUAUGGUGCUCUUCACCGAGUGUCAUAGGCGAUCGAUACGUUUACUUUGAAAAAAUUAGAGUGCUCAAAGCAGGCUAUACAAGCCCGAAUAAUGUUGCAUGGAAUAAUGGAAUAGGAUCUCGGUUCUAUUUUGUUGGUCUUCGGAAUCUGAGAUAAUGAUUAAGAGGGACAGACGGGGGCAUUCGUAUUGCGACGCUAGAGGUGAAAUUCUUGGACCGUUGCAAGACGAACUAAAGCGAAGGCAUUUGCCAAGAAUGUUUUCA